rnacentral:rRNA from 1 species
CGCGUGCUUACCAUGCAAGUCGAACGAUGAUGCUGGAGCUUGCUCCAGUUGAUUAGUGGCGAACGGCUGAGUAACACGUGAGCAAUCUGCCCUUGACUCUGGGAUAACUGCGGGAAACUGUAGCUAAUACCGGAUACUUUCACCGAAAGGCAUCUUUUGGUGAAGAAAGAAUUUCGGUCAAGGAUGAGCUCGCGGCCUAUCAGCUUGUUGGUGAGGUAACGGCUCACCAAGGCGACGACGGGUAGCCGGCCUGAGAGGGUGACCGGCCACACUGGGACUGAGACACGGCCCAGACUCCUACGGGAGGCAGCAGUGGGGAAUAUUGCACAAUGGGCGCAAGCCUGAUGCAGCAACGCCGCGUGAGGGACGACGGCCUUCGGGUUGUAAACCUCUUUUAGCAGGGAAGAAGCGAAAGUGACGGUACCUGCAGAAAAAGCACCGGCUAACUACGUGCCAGCAGCCGCGGUAAUACGUAGGGUGCAAGCGUUGUCCGGAAUUAUUGGGCGUAAAGAGCUCGUAGGCGGUUUGUCACGUCUGCUGUGAAAAUCCAAGGCUCAACCUUGGACUUGCAGUGGGUACGGGCAGGCUAGAGUGCGGUAGGGGAGAUGGAAAUUCCUGGUGUAGCGGUGGAAUGCGCAGAUAUCAGGAGGAACACCAAUGGCGAAGGCACAUCUCUGGGCCGUAACUGACGCUGAGGAGCGAAAGCGUGGGGAGCGAACAGGAUUAGAUACCCUGGUAGUCCACGCCGUAAACGGUGGGUGCUAGCUGUGGGCCACAUUCC